rnacentral:lncRNA from 1 species
CACCUAAUAGUUUAAUUUCAAGUGGACACAUCCCGGGCUAUAUGUUAACGUAUGAGUCAUUGAUCAUCUACUUGCAUUCAUGCACACAUUAAAUAAAUUAAAUAAGUUUUUAAUAAAUAGGUAUUAAAAUAAAUACAAAACUUUAAAUGAACUUAAAUAUAAAUAGAAUUAAGAAAAUAUCAAAUAAAAUUUAGAUAAUAAAUUAUAUUAUGUUAU